ensembl:lncRNA
AUGAACAUUCAUGGCAGUAUCAUAGCCUUAAAACAAUCAGUGUAUGAUGUUUCUUUAAGAAAGUUGGGUAUGGUGUUGGUAGGUUUUUCUUUUUUGACUCUUGUUUCUCUAACCAGAGUACUCGGUGAGUCUGACCAGCUUCCUGCUCAUCUGAUGCUGGAACUACACCUCUUCUCAAUGGAUGACCUCAUCAGGCUGUGUCAGGCCAAAGGCUUUAUCUGUGAGUUCUGUCACAGGGAGGAAGUGCUUUUCCCUUUUCAGAGAGACAUCUGCACCUGCUGCCAAGGUCAGACAUCAACAUACUGCAAGUAUUUCCUACAUACUCUGUUAAUAAUUAUACUCAAAGGCUUGAGACAUUUAAAAGCAAUGUUUUUGUCCACCUUGGGUUAUAGUGCUUAAUCAUUUAGUAGUAAGAUGAGAACUCAAUGAGAGUAAGCUGAUAUAAGGCCAUUCCUGUAUUUCAUAAAAUGACAGUUGACUUGUACUUCAGAUUUUUUUAGACUGCAGAGCCUGUUUCCACAUCUACUUCUGUGAUGAAUCAUGUCCCAAAUGUGCCAGACUGGAGAAACGAAAGAAACUCCAGCAAGACAUCAAUUUAUGAAAUCUCCUACAUGUCCUUCACUGCAUUUUAAAGUGGCGUAAAGAGGUCUUGAACUGUUCUUAGUUUACUGACAUGCUUUAUGUGCUGUAAUUUUGUAAAGCAUAGAUGAAUGUAGUUUUGAUAUUGUUCGAUGUUGUACAUUGUAUUUCCAUUAAGUAACAAGCAUUACAAUGUGUGAACACAGAGACCUGCCAAACUCUAUUAUGUUCGUAUUUUGAACACAUGAUUAAUUCAUGAUAGUUUAGUCACAUUUCAUUCUGCAAUUGGUUGCAAAAUAUGGGGAUUGUUCUUGUGGACGUUUAGAAAAUAGUCUUUCCCUUAUUGAUUGAAAGUCAUGAACAUUCUCCACCACAGGAUCUUUUUAAUAGCAUUCUCUGGUCGAACUGACGUUUUAUAUUAUUUAAUAUUACAUAAAUGAAUUUGUUUUAUUUAAUAUUGUAUUUAUUGUUAUUUAAUAAUUAUAUUUGUUUUAGGAUUCAAAACUUGUUUAAGAUUUAAAGUUUGAGUCAAGGGUAAAACAAUAAAAUACGGGCAUUUAAAUAAUAAUAAUAAAAA